UACGUAGGGCGCAAGCGUUGUCCGGAAUUAUUGGGCGUAAAGAGCUCGUAGGCGGUUUGUCGCGUCUGGUGUGAAAACUCAAGGCUCAACCUUGAGCUUGCAUCGGGUACGGGCAGACUAGAGUGCGGUAGGGGUGACUGGAAUUCCUGGUGUAGCGGUGGAAUGCGCAGAUAUCAGGAGGAACACCGACGGCGAAGGCAGGUCACUGGGCCGCAACUGACGCUGAGGAGCGAAAGCAUGGGGAGCGAACAGG
rnacentral:rRNA from 1 species